rnacentral:lncRNA from 1 species
AGUUAAGGGGCUGUUUCCCAGGACGCUGGUGGAGAGGUUUGUCUGCCCUUGUCCUACUUCGAGACACCUCGUCCAGGGCACGUUGGAUCUCUAUGCAUUGCAAGAGUUGAUUCACCAUGGUCGUCUAUUGUGAAAGGGCGCUCGUCAACUCUAUGACUUGUUGAGUCAAGUGUUGUUCGCCAUUUGGAUUGAAAGAGCUUGGAAGAAAUAUACCUCAUUGAGCAGUGGAAGUGUGGUAGA